rnacentral:rRNA from 1 species
AGGACGAACGCUGGCGGCGUGCUUAACACAUGCAAGUCGAGCGGAAAGGCCCUUCGGGGUACUCGAGCGGCGAACGGGUGAGUAACACGUGAGCAACCUGCCCUUAGCUUCGGGAUAGCUCCGGGAAACCGGAAUUAAUACCGGAUAUGACUAUGGCCAACAUCAGCCAUGGUGGAAAGUUUUUCGGCUAGGGAUGGACUCGCGGCCUAUCAGCUAGUUGGUGAGGUAACGGCUCACCAAGGCGACGACGGGUAGCCGGCCUGAGAGGGCGACCGGCCACACUGGGACUGAGACACGGCCCAGACUCCUACGGGAGGCAGCAGUGGGGAAUAUUGCGCAAUGGGCGAAAGCCUGACGCAGCGACGCCGCGUGGGGGAUGAAUGCCUUCGGGUUGUAAACCCCUUUCAGCAGGGACGAAGCGAAAGUGACGGUACCUGCAGAGAAGCGCCGGCUAACUACGUGCCAGCAGCCGC